rnacentral:lncRNA from 1 species
GCACAAGCUAUGGUGUCUGAUGAUUACACACCCUCACUCUGCGUUCUUGCAAUAUGUGAUGACAUUGCAGGUUACUUCAGGAAUACGUGUAAGAAAUUGAGAUGCUGCCUCUUCCAUGAUGUCACACUGCAGAGAAAAAUCCAGACUGGAUAGAAAUGGUUGAUUGAAAGGAAUUCUGGAUGAAUACCUAGAAUCCUCUGGUAUUCCGAUUACUACAUACAUACAUGCUGGGCAAUGACUGGAGAGCUGAGAAGAGAGGAAAAGGAAAAGACUGAGGGUACAAGAGCUCUGAGUUUGGAUUAUUCAGGCUGCAUGGUGUGGGGAAAAACCAAGACUGGCUCUCAGAGGGUUAAAAACACCUGUCUGGAAGAGGACCCUGAAGAUUGCAGUUCAUCUCAGGGAACUUGCCCAGCCCUGAGCAUUAAGGCAGGAAGCCACCUAGAACGUGCUUCAGCACGUCUUUGUGCUGAGAGGAGCUGUGUCAUGCUGGAAUUCUUUUCACAACAAACUAAAGAACCCAGCUGUGGUGCUGGAUGCAGCCUGAGAACCUGCAGGCUUUCUGUAUGCAGUUAUUUACCAAGGGGAGCAGUGAAGCUGCUGAGGUGG